rnacentral:rRNA from 1 species
CCUUCGGGGUGACGCUCGUGGAACGAGCGGCGGACGGGUGAGUAACACGUGGGCAACCUGCCUGUAAGAUCGGGAUAACUCCGGGAAACCGGGGCUAAUACCGGGUAAUACUUUCUUUCGCAUGAAGGAAAGUUGGAAGGUGGCUUCUCGCUAUCACUUACAGAUGGGCCCGCGGCGCAUUAGCUAGUUGGUGAGGUAACGGCUCACCAAGGCAACGAUGCGUAGCCGACCUGAGAGGGUGAUCGGCCACACUGGGACUGAGACACGGCCCAGACUCCUACGGGAGGCAGCACUCGGAAAUCUUCCGCAAUGGACGAAAGUCUGACGGAGCAACGCCGCGUGAACGAUGAAGGUCUUCGGAUCGUAAAGUUCUGUUGUUAGGGAAGAACAAGUACCGUGCGAAUAGAGCGGUACCUUGACGGUACCUAACGAGGAAGCCCCGGCUAACUACGUGCCAGCAGCCGCGGUAAUACGUAGGGGGCAAGCGUUGUCCGGAAUUAUUGGGCGUAAAGCGCGCGCAGGCGGUUCCUUAAAUCUGAUGUGAAAGCCCACGCCUCAACCGUGGAGGGUCAUUGGAAACUGGGGAACUUGAGGACAGAAGAGGAGAGUGGAAUUCCACGUGUAGCGGUGAAAUGCGUAGAUAUGUGGAGGAACACCAGUGGCGAAGGCGACUCUCUGGUCUGUGGCUGACGCUGAGGUGCGAAAGCGUGGGUAGCAAACAGGAUUAGAUACCCUGGUAGUCCACGCAAGUAAACAAUGAGUGCUAGGUGUUAGGGAGCUUCCACCCCUUAGUGCUGAAGUUAACGCAUUAAGCACUCCGCCUGGUGGAGUACGGCCGCAAGGCUGAAUACUCAAAAGAAUUGACGGGGGCCCACACAAGCGGUGGAGCAUGUGGUUUAAUUCGAAGCAACGCGAAGAACCUUACCAGGUCUUGACAUCCUCUGCACCUCCCAUAGAGAUAGGGAUUUCCCUUCGGGGACCAAGUGACAGAUGGUGCAUGGUUGUCGUCAGCUCGUGUCGUGAGAUG